GAUGAACGCUGGCGGCGUGCUUAACACAUGCAAGUCGAACGGAAAGGCCGAAGCUUGCUUCGGUACUCGAGUGGCGAACGGGUGAGUAACACGUGGGUGAUCUGCUCUGUACUUCGGGAUAAGCCUGGGGAACUGGGUCUAAUACCGGAUAUGACGAUCUCAUGGAUGGGGUUGUGGAAAGCUUUUGCGGUAUGGGAUGAGCUAGCGGCCUAUCAGCUUGUUGGUGGGGUCAUGGCCUAGCAAGGCGUCGACGGGUAGCCGGCCUGAGAGGGUGGACGGCCACACUGGAACUGUGAUGCGGCCCAGACUCCUGCGGGAGGCAGAAGGGGGGAAUAUUGCACGAUGGGCGCAAGCCUGAUGCAGCGACGCCGCGUGGGGGAUGACGGCCUUCGGGUUGUAAGCUCCUUUCGCAAUCGACGAAGCCUUUUGUUGACGGUAGGUUGAGAAGAAGCACCGGCUAACUACGUG
rnacentral:rRNA from 1 species